UUGUAGCUCAGUUGGUCAGAGCACGGGUCUUAUGAGCCCGGGGUCGUGGGUUCGAA
rnacentral:tRNA from 2 species